CCAUGCCGCGUGAGUGAAGAAGGCCUUCGGGUUGUAAAGCUCUUUCGGUGAAGACGAAACGGUUAGCGCUAAUAACGCUGACUAAUGACGGUACUCACAGAAGAAGCACCGGCUAACUACGUGCCAGCAGCCGCGGUAAUACGUAGGGUGCAGGCGUUAAUCGGAAUUACUGGGCGUAAAGCGUGCGCAGGCGGUUUGCUAAGACAGGUGUGAAAUCCCCGAGCUUAACUUGGGAAUUGCGCUUGUAACUGGCAAGCUAGAGUGUAGCAGAGGGGGGUAGAAUUCCACGUGUAGCAGUGAAAUGCGUAGAUAUGUGGAGGAACACCGAUGGCGAAGGCAGCCCCCUGGGUUAACACUGACGCUCAUGCACGAAAGCGUGGGGAGCAAACAGGAUUAGAUACCCUGGUAGUCCACGCCCUAAACUAUGUCAACUAGUUGUCGGGGAAGAAAUUCCUUGGUAACGAAGCUAACGCGUGAAGUUGACCGCCUGGGGAGUACGGCCGCAAGGUUA
rnacentral:rRNA from 1 species